AUUGAACGCUGGCGGCAGGCCUAACACAUGCAAGUCGAGCGAGACGCGGAAGUGUGAGUAAUGUAUGGGCAUCUGCCUGAUGGAGGGGGAUCAGUACUGGAAACGAUACCUACUACCGCCUACCAUAAACUGAGCCCAUAUGGGAUUAGCUUGUAGGUGGGGUAACGGCUCACCUAGGCGACGAUCCCUAGCUGGUAUGAGAGGAUGCACAGCCACACUGGGACUGAGACACGGCCCAGACUCCUACGGGAGGCAGCAGUGGGGAAUAUUGCACAAUGGGCGAAAGCCUGAUGCAGCCAUGCCGCGUGUGUGAAGAAGGCCUUCGGGUUGUAAAGUACUUUCAGUCGGGAGGCGUUACCGACAGAAGAAGCACCGGCUAACUCCGUGCCAGCAGCCGCGGUAAUAC
rnacentral:rRNA from 1 species